rnacentral:rRNA from 1 species
AUUAGAGUUUGAUCCUGGCUCAGGAUGAACGCUAGCGGCAGGCCUAACACAUGCAAGUCGAGGGGUAGUUACUUUCGGGUAAUGAGACCGGCGCACGGGUGCGUAACGCGUAUGCAAUCUACCUUUUACAGGGGAAUAGCCCAGAGAAAUUUGGAUUAAUGCCCCAUAAUAUAUGUUUUUCGCAUGUUAGACAUAUUAAAGUUCCAACGGUAAAAGAUGAGCAUGCGUCCCAUUAGUUAGUUGGUAAGGUAACGGCUUACCAAGACGAUGAUGGGUAGGGGUCCUGAGAGGGAGAUCCCCCACACUGGUACUGAGACACGGACCAGACUCCUACGGGAGGCAGCAGUGAGGAAUAUUGGACAAUGGGCGCAAGCCUGAUCCAGCCAUGCCGCGUGCAGGAAGACGGUCCUAUGGAUUGUAAACUGCUUUUGUACGGGAAGAAACACUCCUACGUAUAGGAGCUUGACGGUACCGUAAGAAUAAGGAUCGGCUAACUCCGUGCCAGCAGCCGCGGUAAUACGGAGGAUCCAAGCGUUAUCCGGAAUCAUUGGGUUUAAAGGGUCCGUAGGCGGUUUAGUAAGUCAGUGGUGAAAGCCCAUCGCUCAACGAUGGAACGGCCAUUGAUACUGCUAGACUUGAAUUACAAGGAAGUAACUAGAAUAUGUAGUGUAGCGGUGAAAUGCUUAGAUAUUACAUGGAAUACCAAUUGCGAA